rnacentral:lncRNA from 1 species
AAAAAGAUCAAAUUGGGCCAAUUCUAUUAGCCCAAAGCUACAAAAAGAAUUUUGGCAGCCCAAUUACCCAUCUGCCCCAAGCCUGGCCCAAUAACCCAACCCCUCUCAUUAAAACCUCCCCCUUCCAAAAAAAAAGACCUAGACCUAAUUUCAUUCCCUUACCCUAGAGACCUAAUAAGAUAAAAAAAAGGAGGACCUUAAAGCUUUAGGAAAAUUGCGCAUCAACUGCUGCCUUUCUUCUUCUGCUAAACACACUCCAUUAUAACUAAAACUUCAACUCCAAAAGCCAUGAAAAUCAACCACGAAAUCCACAAAAAAUCAGCUCCAAUUCACCCCAAAUCAUCUCCGAAUAGCCUAGAAAAUGCAGCUGAAGUAGCUGCAAAAAUAGUCCAUAAACCAGCCAUGUUUCCACAUCAAAAUACCCUGCAAAAAUCAGUUCAAAACAUAAGCUAAAAAUCCACAAAAUGUGUUCAAAAUCACCUCCAAAAUAACUCCAAAACGAGCUGAAAAAUACUCCAUGAAAUAGCUUCAAAAAUGACCAUUGAAACCCAGCUUCCCACCUCAAAAAGAUCACCUAAAAAAUAAUUAAAUUUUCGAGUCAAAGUCAAGGGUCUUGGUACAAAUAAAGUCGAGGUCAACGUCGAGCUUUUCGAGUCAUGGUUUUGUUCGCUCUUGUUCGCAUUUUCGAUGUUUGUCACAGAGUUCUGUUUGCUAUUUGAACAACUUUUAUUAUUGUACCAAACUUUGGUUUGAAGGCCCUUUAUAUAUACGCAUUAAAGUUUUCACAUAGGUUCUUUCUUUUCCAAUCUCAUUUUAUGGUUGAUUUGCUUUGAAUUGUUAUUUAUACUAUUUGAGCAUUUGGAUGCCUUCACAUUAGUUGAUUCUAUGUUUAUUAGUUACUUUCUUUUGUUAAAUAAUUUUAUUUGAGGCAAAUCUUUACAUUGUUCAUUGAAUUGCAUUGGGCUAUUUAGUAAGCUUGAUUUUAAAAGUUUAUUGGUCUGACAAAAUGGGUCAUGAAGGAGCAGAUACAGAUUCGGGUCAUUGAAUGGUUUUUAAAUAUAAAAUUUGGUCUUUGAUUUAGUAUUGGAAGAUUUGAACCCUUAAUAAAUAUCUGGCUUUAGUUGUUAGGAUGUAGAAUUUUGGUACAUACUAACCUAUUUAUUCCACUAACUAAUUUACUCUAUUUUUAACAACCAUUCCAUAAAUCAUGUCCUUACAAUAAUCUUAAAAUUAGUAUAGAUUAUAACUCAUGAACACCGUUGUUUGCUUUAGGCGCGAUUAAUAAUAAUUAUCGUGGCCAUGGGUAUGGUUCCCGUGGCAUGGUCACGAUACAUAAUCCCUAACCCGGGUGUGCAUUUCAUGUGACACGGCCAUAACUUCGAACAAUAAUAAAAUAAAUAUGUUGUAGAUCGUGGGUACGGUUCCCAUGACGCGAUUCGCAAUGCGUACAAAAAUAAAGAAGUGCAUGACAUCGCGACUUGUUCAAACAAACUCCAUAAAUAACUAAAGCGUUUAAAAGUUAAAAAUACACAAUAGGUCUUAAACAUGUAAUAAAUCAGAUAAGUAGGCCAAUUAUAAAUACUUGUGCGAUCGUGCUAAAAUCACGGAACUCAGGAUGCCUCACACCUUCUCUCGAGUUAACAAAAUUCCUUACCUGGCGACUUGGGACACCAAAGUCAAUCCCAAGUGGCGAUUCUGAAAAUAAAUAAAAUAAUCUCAUUUCGAUUAAUGUCACUUAAAUUGAAAAAACUCCCUAUAACCCUCGGGAAAAAGGAGGUGUGACAGCUCUGGCGACUCUGCUGGGGACAUGAACCCAGAAUCUUUGGUUCAUGAUUCAGAAUUUGAGCAUAGAAUAACUGUUAUAGUUGGCUUUUAAAUAUUAUCUGAUUUUUACGUGUUCAAGCCUAAUGUGCUAAAUGUCGCUAUUUACCGCUUUGACAUUGUUUGAACUGCAUAUAAACCGUUAUAAAACCCUUCUUCUCUCUGAGUCUUCUAAAUCUUCUAGGAAGUGUACGUUGGCAUGACUUCUUUUCUGUUAGUGUCGUACCCUAAUUUAGAACAAGGUUCGGAAAAGUUGGAAAGCCGGAUGAUCUUUUGGUUAGUGAUACGCUUCCUCCCUCAGCUCGAGCUGUCCACUCGGGUAAGCCAUGUCUAGAACAAUUACUGUGAUCACCUAACUUUUGGCCAUGUUUGAAUUUAUUCCCACUUUUCACAAUCACUUCCCACUACCCCCACUUUCUCCACUUACUACCCAGUUCCCUUACACUCUCCACUCAUGCUCCCCACCUAUAUUUUCCACUCUUCCAUCACCUAAUCUCUAUUUAUAACACACGACACACACACACACAUACACACAAAAGAAGGAAAAAAAGCAUUUUUGCUUCUACAAUUUCAAGCUCCACAGAAAAGCUGAAAAAAUCAGUCUUUAAGCUCCAUAGAUCUUCAACCCAUAAGCCUCUUCUUUUGUCCCUUUUUCUCCAUAAAAAAUAUAUCUUCUUUUGCUUUGAAUAACAGCUAAAAACUUGCUCAAUAUAAGCCUAAAACACCCCUGAAGCUUCUCCACUUUUCAGUCAAUUUUGUGUUUCCAGCAAGGUUGUGCAGUUGGAGGUUAUGGUCGCUGCUCUUUGCUCUAUUAUUGAAUAACAGAAAUUCUAAAGUUUGAAUUCAAUAAAUACAAGGUCUAUUUUACUUCUCUGACAAAUUUUUAUAAUGCUACAUACUCCUCUUCCUUUAUUUGGUUAUAGUCAUGUGAAUAUUCUAUCUUUAAAUAUGAUUAUGGUUUGUUUUCUUGCCUUAUUAUUAGCUUAUAUGCUUAUAAGAUUUUGUUUAGUUGUUUGUUAAGUUGACAAUUUUUAUAACUUCUUUUUGUUGAUGAUUUCAAAUAUAGGCAUCAUUGGUUAGCCUAAAACUAAUAAAUUUUGUUCAGAUGGUUGAAUAUUGUUUCUGUCACGACCCUAACCCCGAACCCGGUCGUGAUGGCGCCUCUCGUGAAGAUGAGGCCAACCAGACCAAAAUAGAACACCUCUUUUAAACAGUUAAAUACCAUAAAUAGUUCUAAAAUAUGAUAUAAUAACUAUAAUUUGCGAAAAUAACGAUAACAACGGUAGAAACCAUCCCGACACAGCCCAAACUGGGGUGUCACAAGUCAUGAGCAACUAAUAAAUUCGGAUACCAGUCUACUAGAUACAAAAUCUGAUACAAAAGUUCAAGAACAUGAUAAUAGUAAGAUUAGGGAGGCACGGGGGCUGCAGACGCCAAUAGCUACUUCGUAGUCUCCGAAAACACUGCCUGGACUGGAAGGAUCAGCACUUAGGAGCGGACUUUGCGAUGCCUGAAUCUGCAUACACGAUGCAUGGAGUAAUGUGAGUACUCCGAACCAGUGAGUAAUAAAUAUAAAUAAUGGCUGAAAGUAAGAAAACACGUAAAGGCACAAAGCAGUUCUAUAUCAAGCAGUAAAAUCACUUAAAGCAGUAAAUCCAUGAAGAAGCCAAAUGAAAUUCCUUUAAACCUAGUAAAAUAGGUAAUUUAGUAGGAAAAUAACAAGUAGAAAUCCGCCCCUCGGGCACAGUAACAAUCACUAAGAACGGUAUCAGCCCCUCGGGCUCACUCUUAGUACAAUAUCAGCCCCUCAGGCUCACUCUCAGUACAGUAUCAGCUCCUUGGGCUUACUCUCAAAUCAUGAUGGGUACCUGCGCUCACUGUGGGGGUGCAGAUUCUGGAGGCCUCCUUACGGUCCAAGCGCUAUAUCAAGCCACCUCGUGGCGUAUAAAAGUAUCUCAGGCUCUCGGUCUCAUAUCACUCAGCAUAUCCUCACAUAUGGCCCUCAGCCUCACUCAAUCCGAAAAUCAUCACAAGCCCCUCGGGAAUUAGUAAAACAGUAGUUCUCAGCCUAAAACAUCAAUUAGAAAUAUCAUUUAAGUUUCAAAUAUGAAUAAAAGUGGCUGAGUUUGUAAAACAGUAAAUAUCAACAGGACUGAGUUCAAGUAAUAAGUCAAACAGUGAGGAAUUAAUGAUAAAAAUUCCCGAAGGGUUCAAAUAGUUGGCACGAAGACCAAAUAUGGCAAUCAACCCAAACCAUGAUGAUAACAAACAAGUUUCAGUCAAAUACACGGUAAAAUAAUCAAUCAGGACGGACCAAGUGACAAUCCCCAAUAAUAAACGACUCCACGCUCAUCAUCAAGCGCGUGUCUCACCUCAAUAUAGCACUACGAUGUGCAAUCCGGGGUUUCAAACCCUCAGGAUAUCAUAUACAAUCAUUACUCACUUCGAACCGGCUACAAUUCUAGCUCGCGAUGCCUUUUCCCCUCGAAUCGGCCUCCACACGCGUCGAAUCUAUCCAAAAUCAGAACGAAUACGCCACAAUAUGCUAAGGGAACAAAGCCCAAGCAAAAACAAUCGAAAAAUAUUAAAAAUCCCAAAAUUAGGAAAACCCGAGCCCCGGUCCCACUUCUCAAAACUCAAAACUUUUCACAUCAUUAGAUUCCUCAUCUCCCCACGAGUUCAUAUAUAUCUAAAAUACAAGAUUCGGAGUUCAAUUGACCCCUCAAAUCCUUAAUUUAAGCCCUUUUAAACUCAAGCCCUAAACCUCCAAUUUUGGUCCUUUAAUCUCUUAAAUUUAAGUCCCAAUCCAUGAAAUAUUACCAUAGAAGUGUGUUUUAGCUCCAAAAUCCUUACCUUAUCGAAUUUCUCUUGAAAUAUCUCUUCAGAAUCUCCCAAAAACUCUAAGCCCGAAGUUGAAAUGAAUAAACCCUUCAAAAAUCACGAAGAAGAAACAUAUAUACCUUCUGCCCAGACAUAACCGCAUUUGCGGUCCAAUAGCCACUUCUGCAGUACCGCUUCUGCGGUCAUUUCUCCGCAUCUGCGAAAUUUCACUUACGAAUCCACAACGCAUCUACGGUCCACUCGCCGCAUCUGCGGCUUCGCAGGUGUGGUCCUUUUCCGCAUCUGCGAUACAGGACCCCUCAACCUUCCGCUUUUGUGACCCAAACAACGCAUCUACGAGACCGCACCUGCGGUCCCCAAACCGCAGGUGCAAAAACACCAGAAGCAGCAGAAAAUCUGCAAUCACUCAACUUCCAAAAUUUCCCGUUAGCCAUCCGAAAUCACCCCGAGGCCCCUGGGACCUCAACCAAAAGCAUCGACAUGACCCAAUACCUUAUUCGAACUUGUUCCAAUUAUCAAAAGACCUCAAAUAACAUCAAAUUACCCAAAACUCAUCGAAUUCAAGCCUAAUUUGUGAGAAAUCUUCCGAAAUACGCUUUCGAUCAAAAACCCAAUCAAAUCAUGUCCGAAUGACCUGAAAUUUUGCACACACAUCACAAAUGACAUAACAAAGCCACAGCAACUCUCGGAAUUCCAUUCCGACCCUCGGAUCAAAAUCUCGCCUAUCAACCGGAAAUCGUCAAAAUACUAACUUCGCCAAUUCAAGCCUAAUUCUACACCAGACCUCCAAAACCAAUUCCGAUCACACUUCUAAGUCAUAAUUCACCUCCCGAAACUAAUUGAACUAUCAGAACUCACAUCCGAGGCCUCUAACUCAUAAGUCAACAUCUGGUUGACUUUUCCAACUUAAACCUUUUUAAAAGAAACUAAGUGUCUCGUUUCUUACCAAAUCCACUCCGAACGCAAACUUCUCAACUCAACCACAUAAAACAAAGAUAACGAAGCAUAAAAAAGCAGAACUGGGGGAAACGAAGUGGAAACGCAUGAGACGACUAGCCGGGUCAUCACAUCCUCCCAACUUAAACAAACGUUCGUCCUCGAACGAGUCAAGAAACAUAACUGAAGCCUCAAAUAGGUGAGGAUAUCUGCUCUGCAUCUCUCGCUCGGUCUCCUAGGUAGCCUCCUCCACGGACCGACCUUUCCACUGCACUUUCAUUGAAACUUUAUCUUUUGACCUCAACUUCCGAACCUGACGACCCAAAAUAGCUUUUGGCUCCACAUCAUAGGUCAAAUCAUCAUCCAACUGAACCAUGAUGAAGUCUAAAACAUGAGACGGGUCCCCAAAGUACUUUCGAAGCAUAGAAACAUGAAAUACCGGAUGCACGCUAGACAAGCUGAGUGGCAAGGCAAGCUCAUAAGACACCUCUCCAAUCCUCCUAAGCACCUCAAAAGGCCCAAUGAACCGCGGAUUCAACUUUACUUUCUUCCCAAAUCUCAUGACACCCUUUAUGGGCGAAACCUUCAGCAAGACCUUCUCACCAACCAUGUAGGACACAUCUCGAACCUUCCGGUCCUCAUAACUCUUCUGUCAUGACUGCGCUAUAAGAAGCCUCUCCUAAAUUACCUUCACCUUCUCUAAGGCAUCCUGAACCAAAUUUGUCCCCAAUAGCCUAGCCUCACCGGGCUUGAACCAACCAACUGGAGAUCUACACUGCCUCCCAUACAAAGCCUCAUAUGAAGCCAUCUGAAUACUCGACUGGUAGUUGUUGUUGUAAGCAAACUCUGCAAGCGAUAGAAACUUAUCCCAUGAACCUCCGAAAUCAAUAACACAAGCACGCAACAUGUCCUCCAAUAUCUGAAUAGUACGCUCGGACUGCCCGUCUGUCUGAGGAUGAAAAGUUGUGCUCAACUCCACCUGAGUACCCAACUCUCGCUGAAUAGACUUCCAAAACUAGAAAGUAAACUGAGCACCCCAAUCUGAAAUGAUGGAAACUGGAACACCAUGCAGCCGAACAAUCUCCCGAAUGUAUAACUCUGCUAACCGCUCUGAAGAAUAGGUAGUACACACAUGAAUGAAGUGCACAAACUUGGUCAUCCGAUCCACAAUCACCCAAAUAGCAUCAAACCGCUUCAAAAUCCGUGGAAGUCCAACAACAAAGUCCAUAAUGAUCCUUUCCCACUUACACUCAGGAAUUACCAUCUGCUGAAGCAAACCACCCGGUCUCUGAUGCUCAUAUUUCACUAGCUAACUAUUGAGACACCGAGCUACAAAUCCCACGAUAUCUUUAUUCAUUCUCCUCCACCAAUAGUGCUACCUCAAAUCCUGAUACAUCUUUGCGACACCUGGAUGAAUGGAAUACCACGAGUUAUGGGCCUCCUCCAGAAUCAACUCCCGAAGCCCAUCCACCUUGGGCACACAAAUCCGGCCCUGCAUCCUCAACACCCCAUCAUCACCGAUGGUCACAUCUCUAGCAGCAUCAUGAUGCAUUCUGUCCUUAANNNNNNNNNNNNNNNNNNNNNNNNNNNNNNNNNNNNNNNNNNNNNNNNNNNNNNNNNNNNNNNNNNNNNNNNNNNNNNNNNNNNNNNNNNNNNNNNNNNNNNNNNNNNNNNNNNNNNNNNNNNNNNNNNNNNNNNNNNNNNNNNNNNNNNNNNNNNNNNNNNNNNNNNNNNNNNNNNNNNNNNNNNNNNNNNNNNNNNNNNNNNNNNNNNNNNNNNNNNNNNNNNNNNNNNNNNNNNNNNNNNNNNNNNNNNNNNNNNNNNNNNNNNNNNNNNNNNNNNNNNNNNNNNNNNNNNNNNNNNNNNNNNNNNNNNNNNNNNNNNNNNNNNNNNNNNNNNNNNNNNNNNNNNNNNNNNNNNNNNNNNNNNNNNNNNNNNNNNNNNNNNNNNNNNNNNNNNNNNNNNNNNNNNNNNNNNNNNNNNNNNNNNNNNNNNNNNNNNNNNNNNNNNNNNNNNNNNNNNNNNNNNNNNNNNNNNNNNNNNNNNNNNNNNNNNNNNNNNNNNNNNNNNNNNNNNNNNNNNNNNNNNNNNNNNNNNNNNNNNNNNNNNNNNNNNNNNNNNNNNNNNNNNNNNNNNNNNNNNNNNNNNNNNNNNNNNNNNNNNNNNNNNNNNNNNNNNNNNNNNNNNNNNNNNNNNNNNNNNNNNNNNNNNNNNNNNNNNNNNNNNNNNNNNNNNNNNNNNNNNNNNNNNNNNNNNNNNNNNNNNNNNNNNNNNNNNNNNNNNNNNNNNNNNNNNNNNNNNNNNNNNNNNNNNNNNNNNNNNNNNNNNNNNNNNNNNNNNNNNNNNNNNNNNNNNNNNNNNNNNNNNNNNNNNNNNNNNNNNNNNNNNNNNNNNNNNNNNNNNNNNNNNNNNNNNNNNNNNNNNNNNNNNNNNNNNNNNNNNNNNNNNNNNNNNNNNNNNNNNNNNNNNNNNNNNNNNNNNNNNNNNNNNNNNNNNNNNNNNNNNNNNNNNNNNNNNNNNNNNNNNNNNNNNNNNNNNNNNNNNNNNNNNNNNNNNNNNNNNNNNNNNNNNNNNNNNNNNNNNNNNNNNNNNNNNNNNNNNNNNNNNNNNNNNNNNNNNNNNNNNNNNNNNNNNNNNNNNNNNNNNNNNNNNNNNNNNNNNNNNNNNNNNNNNNNNNNNNNNNNNNNNNNNNNNNNNNNNNNNNNNNNNNNNNNNNNNNNNNNNNNNNNNNNNNNNNNNNNNNNNNNNNNNNNNNNNNNNNNNNNNNNNNNNNNNNNNNNNNNNNNNNNNNNNNNNNNNNNNNNNNNNNNNNNNNNNNNNNNNNNNNNNNNNNNNNNNNNNNNNNNNNNNNNNNNNNNNNNNNNNNNNNNNNNNNNNNNNNNNNNNNNNNNNNNNNNNNNNNNNNNNNNNNNNNNNNNNNNNNNNNNNNNNNNNNNNNNNNNNNNNNNNNNNNNNNNNNNNNNNNNNNNNNNNNNNNNNNNNNNNNNNNNNNNNNNNNNNNNNNNNNNNNNNNNNNNNNNNNNNNNNNNNNNNNNNNNNNNNNNNNNNNNNNNNNNNNNNNNNNNNNNNNNNNNNNCACCCGACUGGGUACCGAGAUAUCCAACCUCACGAACCGAUUGGCCAAGGCCUGAACAUCAACUGCAGAGGUCUCUCCCCAAUUGGAAUUUAUGCCAAACUCCCCAUACUCACUGCCUUUCGGCCCAAAGCAUCGACCACCACAUUGGCCUUUCCCGGAUGGUACAAUAUAGUGAUAUCAUAAUCCUUAAGCAACUCCAACCAUCUCCGCUACCUCAGAUUAAGAUCCUUUUGCUUGAACAAAUUUUGAAGACUAUGAUGAUCGGUGAAUACCUCACAAGAUACACCAUACAAAUAAUACCUCCAAAUUUUCAAUGCAUGAACUAUGUCAGCCAACUCCAAAUCAUGAACGGGGUAGUUCUUCUCAUGGGGAUUCAACUGACGAGAAGCAUAAGCAAUAACUCUACCCUCCUGCAUCAAUACACAACCAAUCCCAACUCUCGAGCAUUACAAUACACGAUAUAUGAACUUGAAGCUGAUGGCAAAACCAAUACUGGAGCUGUGGUCAAAGCUGUCUUGAGCUUCUGAAAGCUCUCCUCACACUCGUCCGACCAUACAAAUGAAACACCAUUUUGAGUCAACUUGGUCAAGGGCGAUGCGAUAGAUGAGAAUCCCUGAACAAACCGGCAAUAAUAGCCUGCUAGCCAAAGAAAACUACGAAUCUCUGUGGCUGAGGACGGUCUGGGCCAACUCUGAACCGCCUCUAUCUUCUUUAGAUCAACCUGAAUACCCUCACUGGACACCACAUGCCCCAAAAAAGCCACUAAACUGAGCAAAAACUCACACUUGGAGAAUUUUGCAUAAAGCUUCUCCUCCCUCAAUCUCUGCAACACAACUCUCAAAUGCUCUGCGUCCUCCUCCUGACUAUGCGAGUAUACCAGAAUAUCAUCAAUGUUACAAUAACAAAUGAAUCUAGAUAAGGCCAAAAUACACUGUUCAUCAAAUGCAUGAAUGUUGCUGGGGCAUUGGUUAGAUCGAAAGACAUCACAAGGAACUCAUAAUGACCAUAUCUGGUACUGAAAGCACUCUUAAGAAUAUCUAAAUCCUUGAUCUUCAACUGGUGAUAACCCGAACGGAGAUCAAUCUUGUAGAACACUCUCGCUCCCUGAAGCUGGUCAAAUAAAUCAUCAAUGCGAGGCAAAGGAUACUUGUAGUUAAUUGUUACUUUGUUCAAUUGCCUAUAAUCAAUGCACAUUCUCAUGGUGCCAUCCUUCGUCUUCACAAACAGAAUGGGUGCACCUCAGGGUGACACACUAGGCCGAAUGAACCCAUUAUCUAGGAGUUCCUGAAGUUGUUCCUUCAACUCCUUCAACUCUGCUGGUGUUAUAUGAUAUAAUGGAAUAGAAAUGGGCUGAGUGCCCGGCACCAGGUAGAUACCAGAAUCGAUAUCCCUAUCCAGUGGCAUGCUCGGUAGGUCUGUAGGAAAAACAUCGGAAAAAUGCCUCACAAUUGGAAGAGAAUCAAUGUUAGGAGUCUCAGCUCCUACAUACCUAACAAACGCUAAAUAUGAAAGGCAACCCUUCCCAACCAUACGCUGGGCAUUCAAGAAAGAUAUCACUCUACUAGGGAUAUAAUCAGUCACACCAUGCCACUCGAUCUGUGGUACACCCGGCAUAGCCAAAGUGACUGUCUUAGCAUGACAGUCUAGAAUAGCACGACACGGAGUAACCAGUCCAUGCCCAAAAUGACAUCAAAAUCCACCAUGCUCAAUAGCAAUAGAUCCACUCGGGUCUCCAGACCCCCAAUAGUAACCACACAUGAUCAGUACACACGUUUUAUAACAAUAGUAUCCCCACCGGGGUAGAUACAUGAACAGGUAAAGCAAGAAACUCACAGGGCAUACCCAGAUAACGAGCAAAGUAUGAUGACACAUAAGAAAAGGUUGAACCAGGAUCAAAUAACACAAAGGCAUCUCUAUGGCAGACUGAAACAAUACCUGUAAUGACAACGUUUGAAGAAAUAGCGUUUGGCCUGCCUGGAAGUACAUAGAAAUGGGCCUGACCGCCCACUAAUCGACCUCCCCCUUUGGGGCGACCCCUGACUGCCUUACCUCCACCCCUAGUUGGCUGGGCGGGUGGUGAAGUAGUUAGAGCAGAAGUCGAUGGCUGACCCCUCUACUAGGACGAACUAGCAACACGAUGAUGAUACUGCCUCCACACAUGCCCAAACUCUCCACACUCAAAACAACUCCCAAGUGCUGGAGAAGGGGACUGAAGGGUACCCCUCGACUGGAGUGACUAGCUGAUGUACUCAGCAUAGAAGAACCCUGAGAUGACGGAGCACGGGAUAAACUCUGAGUUGGAAGGGCACUAAGUGAUGACUGGCCUACUGAGUACCGUGAUAACCAUGACCCGAAGAUGCCCUACGAUAACUUGGGCGAGCUGGCUGAGCAGACCUGAAUGAACGACCUCUGCCAUGCUGAAACUGGCCCCUUAAAGGAGCACCACUAUAACUGCCCGAUCCUCGAGGCCUCUUGGCCUCCCUCUACUCUCGAUCCUGACGGCGGACCGUCUCAAUCUCGCGAGCGAUAUCAACCACCUCAUCGAACGUAGCACCCAACACUCUCUCUAUGGUCAUAAGAAUACAGAGGUGAUAGUUAAGGCCAUUAACAAAUCUCCUGAUCCUCUCAAGAUCUAUCGGAACCAUCCAUAUAGCAUGACGAGCCAACUCAAAAAACCUCGACUCAUACUGUGACACAGUCAUAUCCCCUUGUCGCAACCACUCAAACUGUAUAUGCAGCUCCUCUCUACGAGACUGCGGCACAUACUUCUCCAAGAAGAGAACAGAGAACUCAUGCCAAGUGAGGGGCGCUACUUCCACAGGCCUACGCCUCUCAUACGCCUCCCACCAAGUGAAGGCAGCCCCAGAAAACUGGAAGGUAGUAAAUGCCACACCACUAGACUCAAGAAUCCAUGUUGUACGGAGCAUCCGCUGACACUUAUCUUGAAAACCCUGGGCAUCCUCGCCCUCGACACCACUGAAUGAUGGAGGCUGGAGUCUACCAAACCUCUCAAGACGACGCUGCUCAUCAUCUGGCAUAACUGGCACAACAAACUCCUGAGCUAGUGCAACUGGCUGGGCAGGAGGUGCCCCAGUGUCUAAAGUCCCUGCACUACUUGCUCAGGUGUACGAGCAGCGGGGGUUUGAUUGCCUCCCCCGGCCAGUGCAAACUGAUAAGAUCUGUUCCAAGGCCUCCUGAAGACCCGGAAUCACAAUGGGCACAACUGGUUUGAUUGCCAGUGCAGCGGGGGUUUGAUUGCCUCCCCUGGGCCCAUUUCACGAAACUCAGAACUUUUCACAUCAUUAGAUUCCUUGUCUCCCCAUGAGUUCAUAUAUAUCAAAAACACAAUAAUUGGAGUUCAAUUGACCCCUCAAAUCCUUAAUUUAAGCCCUCUUAAACUCAAGCCCUAAACCUCCAAUUUUAGUCCUUUAAUCUCUUAAAUUUCAGUCCCAAUCCAUGAAAUAUUACCAUAGAAGUGUGUUUUAGGUCCAAAAUCCUUACCUUAUCGAAGUUCUCUUGAAAUCUCUCUUCAGAAUCACCCAAAAACUCUAAGUCCGAAGUUGAAAUGAAUAAACCCUUCAAAAAUCGCGAAGAAGAAACAUAUAUACCUUAUGCCCAGACAUAACCACAGAUGCGGUCCAAUAGCCAUUAAUGCGGUACCGCUUCUGCGGUCAUUUCUUCGCAUCUGCGGAAUUUCACUUACGGAUCCACAACACAUCUGCGGUCCACUCGUCGCAUCUGCGGCUUCGCAGGUGCGGUCCCUUUUCCGCAUCUGCAAUACCAGGCCCCUUUCAGCCUUCCACUUCUGCAACCCAAACAACGCAUCUGCGAGACCACACAUGUGGUCCCUAAACCGCAGGUGCGAAAACACCAGAAGCAACAGAAAAUCUGCAAUCACUCAAGUUCCAAAACUUCCCGUUAGUCAUCCGAAAUCACCCCGAGGCCCCCGGGACCUCAACCAAAAGCACUGACAUGACCCAAUACCUUAUUCGAACUUGUUCCAAUUAUCAGAACACCUCAAAUAAUAUCAAAUUACCCAAAACCCAUCAAAUUCAAGCCUAUUUUUUGAGAAAUCUUCUGAAAUACACUUUCGAUCAAAAACCCAAUCAAACCACAUCCGAAUGACCUGAUAUUUUGUACACACAUCAGAAAAUUACAUAACAAAGCCACAGCAACUCUCGAAAUUCCAUCCCGAUCCUCGGAUCAAAAUCUCGCCUAUAAAUCGGAAAUCGCCAAAAUACUAACUUCGUCAAUUCAAGCCUAAUUCUACACCAGACCUCCAAAACCAAUUCUGAUCACACUCCUAAGUAAUAAAUAACAUCCCGAAGCUAACUGAACCGUCAGAACUCACAUCCGAGCCCUCUAACUCAUAAGUCAACAUCCGGUUGAUUUUUCCAACUUAAAAUUUCUUAAAAGAGACUAAGUGUCUCAUUUCUUACCAAAUCCACUCCGAACACAAACUUCUCAACUCUAUCAUAUAAAACACAGAUAACGAAGCAUAAAGAAGCAAAAAAAGGGGAAACAGAGCAUAAACUCAUGAGACGACUGGUCGGGUCGUCACAAUUUCUUGGUUCUAUGUUUAUGUCAGAUUUUUCAUGCCAAUUGCUUGGAAUGAGUUAUGUUGCCUUCGUCCUAUUGCAUCUUUUUUAAUUAAUUUUUGUCACAUUGUGGCAGGUUUUGGUAUUGUCCAUAUUUAGAGAAGAUUAAUUCACUUUGUUUUAUGUUUACGUGAGAUUACAACUCCAUAUCUAUAAUUCACGUGAGCAAUUAACUCGUUAAGUUAUAAAUAAAUCAUAGUAGUUUGCUAAUAUUUAAAGAACUAAUUACAACUCCAUAUUUAUAAUUCGACCUUACAACAAUUUUAAAAUAAUUUCAGUAAAAAAUCUUAUAAACAUUCGUAGCUUUCUUUAGGCGCGAUUAAUAAAUCCUCGUGGUUAUUAGUACGGUUCCCGUGGCAUGGUCACAAUACUUAAAUCCCAAUUCGGGUGUGCAUUUCAUGUGACCCGACCACAACUUCGAACAAUAUUAAAAUAAACAUGUUGUAAAUUGCGGGUGCAUUUCAUGCGCCGCAAUUUUCGAUGUGUACCAAAACAAACAAGUGUACGAUAAUCGUAACUUGUUCCAGAAUAAUUUCAUAAAUAAUUAAAAGCGGUCAAAAGCUAAAAAUGCAUAAUAGUUUAAAAACGUGUAGUAAAUCAGAUAAUAUGCCAAUUAAUAAUAGUUUAAGCGAUCGUGCUAGAACCACGGAACCCGAGAAUGCCUAACACAUUCUCCCAGGAUAACAGAAUUCCUUAUCUAGAAUUUCUGGUUCGCAGACUUUUAAAUAAAGUCGAAGAUUUCCUCGAUUUGGGAUUUAAAAAUGAAUCGGUGACUUGGAACACCAAAUAAACUAUUCCAAGUGGCGACUCUUAUUAAAUAAAUAAAAUAAUUCUAUUACGAUUAAUGUCACUUUUAUUGGAAAAACUCCUUGGUAUACCUUUGCGGGUGUAAAAAGGAGGUGUGACAGCUCUGGCGACUAUACUAGGGAACAAAACCCAGAACUUUGGUUCAGGGUUCAAGAAUUCAAGCUUAGAAUAACUGUUAUAGUUGGCUUGUUUUUAUCUGAUUUUUUUACAUGUUGAGCCUAAUGUGCUAAUUGCCGCUUUUUAACGCUUUGACAUUGUUUGGACUGUAUAUAAAUUUCUACGAAAUCCUCCUCUCUCUGAGUCUUCUAAAUAAUCUGGGAAGUGUGCACUUCGUGUAACUUUUUUUCUGUUAGAGUCAUAUCCCAAUUUUAGAACGAGGUUCGGAAAAGUUGCAAACCCGGUGAAGCUUCUGUAUUCCCGAUACGCUGUCCCUCCCCCCUCCGACUCGAGCUAUCCGCUCGGGUAAGCUAGGUCUAGAACAAUACAUCCAGGGUUUUAAACCUAGUAUAACAAAGCCUCAUGCCGGAUCCCAUGUAUGAACGUUUGUUUGUAUCACGUGCAUUUGACUUUGGGGACUCAACACAAGGGUUGGUCCGCCUAGAACAGGUGUACCCAAAUUAAAAAAGACCAUCCUGAUGCAUCUUACGUGCUACUUGCGCAUCUGUUUGUUUCGGCUUGCAUGUUGACCGUCUUCUAGAAUAGGGAAAGAAAAUCAAAACAAAGUGAGAGGUAGGUAUUUAGAAAAUUCUAAAACUCUGCCGAAAUUCUGAAAAAGGGGUCAUUUCAUAAUUGAGCCAAUAUUUUUCAAGUGUCGCGUUUCCCUUGUUCCGUCAAAACUGACCGAACUACACGAGUUUGAUUCUCAUCGGAUGUGAGAUACAUAGGCAAACCUCAUCGGUUCCGACCCCAAUUUUCAAAAAUCCAAAAAUAUUUUCCUUUAGAAAAUUCAAAACAAAAAAAAGAAAGUUUUUUUAAAAACUCAAAGUACAUUCCUUCUUUCUGGAGUAUUUCAUACGGGUUUUCUUUGUUUUGAAGUAUUUUUCCAAAAAAUUAAAAAAUCAAUCAAAUAAAAAGAAUCCAAAAAAAAAAGAAAAUAUUCUUUUCCUUCUUUAAAAGUAUUUCUUUCGUAAAUGUCAAAAAAUAAAAAAUUUGAAAAUUGAAGUCCAAAAAUAUUUUUCUUUUCAUUAGAAGUAUUUUUGUAAAUAAAUACAAAACUCAGAAAUUCAAAACAUUUUCUUAAAAGCCCCUCUUUCGAAAAUUAAGAGGCAACAUCCAAAAUCCAAAAAUAUAAAUAUUUUCUUUCUUCUUUAGAAAAUAGAAAACAAUUAAACAUUUAAACGAAAAUAUUUUCUUUUUACUUUUAAAAAUCCCAAAGUUCCAAUCAAAAGAAAAGGAAUCUUUAGAAGUCUUUCUUUCAAAAAUAAAAGAAAAAUCAAAAUCAAAAAAUCAAAAAAAAAUAUUUCCUUUCUUCUUUUAAAGCAUUUUUUUAGAAAAUUCCAAAAGAAAUUUUUAAAAAAAUCAAUCAAAAAUCAAAAAUAUUUUUCUUUUGCCUUAAAACUUUCAUGGUCUGAAUUCUAUAAAAAGUAAAAAAAGGUUAGUUUAUUUACUCCAUUCCCAAUCUCCUCGAACUACGCAAGAUCUGAUUCAUGCGACGUUAUGAUACAUAGGCAGUCCCCAUUGGAUUUGAUCAUAGCCAAAAAUAAAUUGAGUGAAGAAUAAACUGGAAAAAAAAGAAGAAAAACAAUUGAGUGAAAAAGAAAGAAAGAGGAAAAAAAAGAGCGACGUAAAAUAAAAGAGUGAAAAAGAAAAGAAAAGAGAGUGCCAAAAAUAAAAGAGCGGCAAAAACGAAAUGAAAAAAGAAAAAUAAUCAAGAGUGAUUAAAGAGAGACAAAAAUAAAAUAAAAGAGGUACAUACUGAAAGAGUUAGUUAAGGUCGGGAUGAAACAUGCAACCGUUCAAAAACACGGUAGUAGCGUUUAACUGUUAGGUGCAUUACAUUCCAAUGUGCGAUUUCCUAUAUGUUAAAUGUUUUAAAACUAACAAGGUUGUUGAAUGUGCAAAGAAGCCAGGUUUUGGUGGUUGUUUUUAUUGGUAGUCUAGCCUCCCCUCCUUCACAAGAUUCAAAGGCACAGAUGGCCUCCACAAGCAAUCUACUAAUCAUCGGUCCGGAGGAUAGCACGCCAUCGGCUAUUCUGCAGCUAGAAUCAGCAGCUGCUGAAGAGAAUAAGAUGUUGUGUGUCCUCAUAUUCGAAAUGUGGGACGCCUAGUCUAAUGGUAGUGAACCGCCAAGUGCAUUCCCUGGGUUCCAUGAAUUGAUCCCCAGGUUAGGUGAGGUUACCAACGCCCCUGUGCCAACCCCGCUCAUCCCAUGCGGGCACCCUCCAUUUCCCUCCAAUGAUCCUGGCAUGCCUUCUGUGGUUCACCCCCAGGCACCGGCUUCAAGGGUACCUCCUCAAAUGUUCAUCUUUCAGGGUCCACAGCUUUAACUAGAAAUAACAUAUAUGACCACGUACUCUUUUACUCAACCUCCGCAAUAUGAUCUCUCGGUGGAACAAGAAAUAGUUGUUAAAAAUCCCGAGCAAGAGAAAAUGGCUCGGAAGAUGAAGAGCCUGGAACAAAGCCUGAAAAGCAUACAAGGUCUGAGUGGCCAAAAGAGUGUCUCAUAUUCUGACCUCUGUAUGUUUCCCCAUGUCCACUUGCCAGCUGGCUUCAAGAUGCCAAAAUUUGAAAGUACGACGGGCAUGGAGACCCGAUCGCUCACCUGAAACGAUAUUGUAACCAGUUGAGAGGCAUUGUUGGAUAAGAGAUUAUGCUAAUGGCUUGUUUUGGGGAAGGCCUCACCAGAAUUGCAUCUGAGUGGUAUACAGAUCAAGAAAUUACUCAUUGGCACGUGUGGGAUGAUAUGGUUUGAGAUUUUGUCGGCCAGUUCCAGUAUAAUGUGGGCAUCGCUCCCGACAGAAAUACUUUGUCCAAUUUAAAAAUGAAAACCGCGGAAAUCUUCCGCGAAUAUGCUGUCAAAUGGCAUGAGCAAGCUGUCAGGGUAAAGCCUCCAAUGGAACAAAUUGAAAUGGUCAUUGUCUUUCUAUAGGCCUAAGAAACGGACUACUUCCAUAACAUGAUGUCUGCUAUGGGUAAGUCGUUCGUUAAGGCUGUCAAAAUUGGGGAAAUGGUUGAAAAUGGGUCGAAGUUUGAGUCAUGCUGCUUUUAAGGCCACAUCACAGGCUGCUCAGAAUGGUUCGGAGGGUUUGAUGAACAAUAAUGGAAGUGAAGUGAGCCAUGAUGGCAUCCAACUCGAAUGGGGCCCGAAGGUCAUUCAGCCAAUCAUAUGUGCUUCCUAUGAUCCCACCACACUAUUAUCCCCUUCAAGAUGAUGCUUAUGCCGUACAUCGCCUCCCUAUGCGGUGAUGAACGCACAACCUUACCCGCGGCCACAACAUUAUCCACAAAAUCGAGCUCCACCUCCCAGAAAUGCCCAUCCUUACCAAGCUCUAUAUAAUCCUCAACCAAAUGAUCCCCAAUACAAUCCUCGCCCAAGAGAGCCUUUCAGAAAGAAUCAGUUCACCCCUAUUGGUGAAUCGUAUUCGAGCUUGUUCCAAAAGCUAAUCAAGCUAAAUCUAUUGCAACCAAUGGCCCCGAACUGGCCGAACCCCGAGUCCCCCUCGCACCGAGCUGAUGCUAUAUGUGAAUACCACUCUGGAGCAGUGGGACAUAGUACAGAGGAUUGUUGGACCCUCACAAAGGCAGUUGAAGAUUUGAUUGAAGCUGAAAGGAUUGCUUUUCAGGAUGAAGAAGCUCUUGAUGCGAUGAACAAUCUGUUACCUGCCUACAACAAUGGGCCAAUAGUCAGAAUGAUUUUUGAAGAUGAGGAAUUUGAUCCAGCACUAAAGGCCAUUACAGCCAUUGCUGAUACAGAAGAAAAGCAGAAAAAUGAUUGCCAUGCUUGAAAGUUCUCCAUCAGACGGGAGUCUCGGUAGCCAGUCUUGCUAUCCUUUAUGCAUCCGGAUUAUCUCAGGGUGUGAUCCGCAUGUUUUACUUUAUUGUCUUACUUUCAAAUGUAAACCCUUCUAUCUUCAAAAAUUGAAAAAAAAAAUCAAGAAUAAAAAAAAUCAAAUGAAAUUAAUAUUUCAUUGUCUAGGAAUGUCUCUUUUCUUAAUCUUGUCAUUUUCUUAUUCUCUUUUUAGUUCUGUUAAAUGCAGAUUUGAAUAACAUGACAUGAUUGCGGACUUCAUGCCCAGAUCCUAAAAUGUUGUCAGACUUCGAAAUAAUGAAUCAAGAAUUAGAUUGCAAUGAAGAUAAGCUUAUGGAAAUAAAACAAAAAGUUGGAACGGCUGAAGGAAAAUUGGUUCUAGAUUGGAAAGGUCCAUACAUUGCCACAAGAGUACUGCUAAAAAAGUGCAUUGUACUUGGGACACAUCGAAGGAAAUGUCCCUGAAACAACUGUCAAUGCAAAUGCAGUCAAAAGGUACUAUGUUGGAUUCUCUAUAUAGCAUUAAUGUUCUCCGGUUGGAAUGACGAAGGCUUUCAUUCUCGCUACCUAAACACUUUAACCCUUAGAGUUGGUUACUCUUAUUUGAUUAACCUCUUUGGAACUUGAAAGUGUUAUUGAAAAAAAAAUGAAAAAAAAUAAAAAAAGGAAGAAAAAGAAAGAUACAAAAGAAAAAGGGGGAAGAAAAGGCAAAAAAAAAGAAAUGAAAAAAUUUAAAAAAAAAAGAGGAAAAAAAGGAAAGGAAAAAGAAAGAUAAAACAAAACAAUACAGAAAAACAAAAGAAAAAUCAAAAACAAAUUUCUUGAACUACGUUUGAUUUGAUUCCGAAAGGAUAUGUAGGCAACCUCUCUUUGGGGUUCAGUCACACCAAAAUAAAAAUCAAAAUUCCCCUAAGGUGAAACUGGGGCAAAAUGUUAUAAUGGUUCGGCGAUGGUUUCGUCCGAAAGGUUCCAAAGUUGUAACUUAAUCCCAAAUCCUUUUUACCUCAAAACCCUGUUCAAGUCCUUCUGAUCAAUCGGCAAAGAGGUUCAAAAUGGGAAGAUAAAGUUACUUGGAUCUAGUACAACAAAAUGAGAGAAAUAAAAUGAGAGAGUCUUAUUGGUGAAAACCCACAUGGGCACCGUAAGGCAAUGGUAAGCAGAGAAAUGAAAUGAUAGAGUCUAAUUGGUGAAAACCCAUACGGGCACCGUGAGGCGGCAGUAAGUAAAGAAAUCAAAAUUAGAGAGUCUUAUUAGAAAACCCACACGGGCACUAUAAGGCGAUGGUGAGAAGAGAAAUAAGAAAGGUCAGAUUGUGAAAACCCGUAAAGGGCACCCCUGAUCGAAAAGAGGAUCCUCACAGCCAUUAGCACCGACAGGGUCCUGGCAAGGUUCCUCAAUUUUAAGGCAAAAGUUGUGAUGAAUUUCUAAGAGUCGGAUGGUUUACACAGAUCAAACAUCCAGUCCAAAAGGUAUGUCAUGUUCAUUAAAGUCCGCAUGUACCCCAGAUAAGUCCUUCUUUUCUUUCCCCUAAAGGGACACUCCUUGUUUUAAACUCAUUCUCCAUUCCAUUAUUUGCUAUCGUUGAAUCUCUUUUGGUCUAACUCUAUUCCGAAACUGAGACAAAGAAGGGAUGAUAAGACUGAUUUACAGGGUUCUCAUUCGACACGAGCUAAUGUGCAAUGAGGCACCCAACCUCGUCAGGGGCAUCAAGUCGACUUCGACCGGCCAUGUUGGCUGAUGUUUCGAAAUUGAAAACUCUUGGAAGUUGAAAAUGUUGAGUCCCACGGGGCUAACAGUCUCGGUAAAGAUUUGAAAAAGCCAAGGUACCCCAAAUGCUCUGAAAUUGCAGUUAGAAGAAAGAAGCCAGAAAUGAAAGGCAUAUAAAGGCGAAAUAAAGUUGAAAAAGGCUAAGUCACACGCGACUAGAAGUUGCAGCAAGUUUGAGGAGCCAAAAGCUCCCCAAUGCUCUGAAUGGUUAAAAACAAAAAAAGAAAAAAAAAAGAAAAAAAACAACAAGUCAAAAGUGAAAGGCCUACGAAGGCAAAAUAAAGUCGCAAAGGUUGAGUUCCACCGACCAAUCGCCAUGGCAAAGUCUGGAAAACCCAGAGGUUCUCCAGGGACUGAAAUGAAAUCGGUCCUCAGGGAACAAGCAGUUGCAGUUGGGAUCUUCAUCAAAGAAGCGGGGUCGAGAUCAAGUGAUUGAAAAAAUCAAGGCCACAAAACCAACCACCGUUUCAAGCUAACAAUUGUUCUUUGUUUGAAAAUAUGAAAUAGGUGCAAUCCAAAGAAACCUUGCAAGAAGCAGGUGCAACCAAAAAGAAACUACACAAGGGCUAGAAAUAGCUUUGCAGCAAUAAUCAAUCCAAAAGGGGAGUCUCCUCCGAAUUCUUUCCUCCAUUUUUACUCAUUUUCUUAAAACAAAAAAUAAGAAGAAAAAUUCAAAAGUAUGGUAGCCUAGGGUCCCCACUCCCUAAUCUGCUUUUCCAACAUUCGGGUCUCCACUCCCUAGUUGAUUUUAUUUUAGGCAUAGGGUCUCCACUACCUACUCUAUUUUUCCAACAUAGGGUCUCAACUCCCUAGUCGUUUUUCUAACAUAGGGUCUCUACUCCCUAGUUGAAGUUAUUUUAGACAUACGGUCUCCACUCCCUAGUCUGCUUUUCCAAUAUAAGGUCUACACUCCCUAGUUGAAGUUAUUUUAGACAUAGGGUCUCUACUCCCUAGUCGCUUUUCCAACAUAGGGUCUUCACUCCCUAGUUGAUUUUAUAUUAGGAAUAGGGUCUCCAUUCCCUAGUAUGAUUUUCCAACAUAGGGUCUUCACUCCCUAGUUGAAUUUACUUUAGACAUAGGAUCUUCACUCCCUAGUCUGCCUUUCCAACAUAAGGUCUCCACUCCCUAAUUGAAUUUACUUUAGACAUAGGGUCUCCACUCCCUAGACUGUUUUUCAAACAUUUGGUCUCCACUCCCUAGUUGAAUUUUAUUUUUAGUACAUAGGGUCGUCCCACUCCCCAGUCACUUUUACAACAUAGGGUCUCCACUUCUUAGUUGAAUUUAUUUUAGAUAUAGGGUCUCCACUCCCUAGUCACUUUUCCAACAUAGGGUCUCCAUUCCCUAGUUGAAUUUAUUUUAAACAUAGGGUCUCCACUCCCUAGUCACUUUUCCAACAUAGGGUCUCCACUCCCUAGUCUCUUUUCCAACAUAAGGCCUCCACUCCCUGGUUGAUUUCAUUAUAGAUAUAGGGCUCCACUUCCUAAUCUCUUUCCCAAAGAUAGACAAUCCUGAUUUUAUUGUUUUCAAUAAAGAAAUAGUUUAGAUUUUUGUUACGAAGAACUUACAAAAUUUUCCUAGUGCAAACUGGGGCAGAAAAUUUCGUUCUUUUGUUUGCUUUGGUGCUUGAUCAGGUUUUUACCUUGAGGCACAAGUUUUGAGGCAACCAAAAGAAGAGGUCUCGAUUCAAAUAAAAGAAACGAAAAAUAAGGAAAAGAAGUGAAUUCAAAGUGCAGAAGUGGAGAAAAGAUGUGGACUGCUCAAGACAUAGUUGAAGUCACAAGCUCUGCAUGUCCCGUCUUGAUCCGAAAAGCUGAAGAAGAAUGAACCAGCGGUUGCAACUAAUGAGCAUCAAGAUUCAGAUCAGAGUCUGUAGGAAAAACCAUCCAAGACUCGAGAUCAACCUUCAGAAGACUCAUAGAUAGGAAUCUUGUAACUAAUAACUCAUAGGCUUGUUUAGUUCCUGUUUAUUUUGAUGUAAUAACAGGGCCAUGGACCGGAGCCUCAACGGAACCUUGCUCAACUCUCAAGCUCAUCAUUCCAUCAUUUUUCCUGAACUACACGCGACCUGAUUCCUUUAUAGCCUGGGAUAUGUAGGUUGUCCAAAACCAGGACUCCGUUGUACCCUAUCUUUUAUUUCUUUUCCCUUUUGAAUAAUGGUAUGGCCAAAAAUUAGUCAUAUCGCUCAUCUUUUCUUUGCCGAAAAACUCUUCAUGUUUCCAAGCCAAGAGGGGCAUGCUGUGAUCACCUAAUUUUUGACCAUGUUUGAAUAUAUUCCUACUUUUCACACUCACUUCCCACUUCCCCCACUUUCUUCACUUACUAUCCAUUUCCCCCACUCUCUCCACUCAUGUUCCCCACAUAUAUUCCUCACUCUUCCAUCACCUAAUAUCUACUUAUAACAUACGACACACACACACACAAAAAGAAGGAAAAAGCAAAAAAAAAAAAGGCAUUUUUGCUUCUACAACUUCAAGCUCCACAGAAAAGCUGAAAAAAUCAGCCUUUAAGCUCCAUAGAUCUCCAACCCAUAAGCCUCUUCUUUUGUCCCUUUUUGUCCAUAAAAAAUAAAGCUUCUUUUGCUUACGUGCUAAAUUUCAGCCUAAAACACCCCUGAAGCUUCUCCACUUUUCAGUCAAUUUUGUGUUUCCGACAAGGUUGUGCAGUUGGAGGUUGUGGUCGCUGCUCUUGGCUCGAUUAUUGAAUAACAUAAAUUUUAAAGUUUGAAUUCAAUCAAUACAAGGUCUAUUUUACUUCUUUGACAAAUUUUUAUAAUGCUAUGUACUCCUCUUCCUUUCUUUGUUUAUAGUCAUGUGAAUAUUCUAUCUUUAAAUGUGAUUAUGGUUUGUUUUAUUGCCUUAUUAUUAGCUUAUAUGCCUAUAAGAUUUUGUUUAGUUGUUUGUUAAGUUGACAAUUUUUAUAACUUCUGUUUGUUGAAGAAUUCAAAUAUAGGCUUCAUUGGUUAGCGUAAAACUAAUAAAUUUUGUUCAGAUUGUUGAAUAUUAUUUCUUGGUUCUAUGUUUAUGUUCGAUUUGUCAUGCCAAUUGCUUGGAAUGAGUUAUGUUGCCUUCGUCCUAUUGCUUUUUUUUAAUUAUUUUUUGUCACAUUGUGGCAGGUUUUUUGUAUUGUCCAUAUUUAGAGAAGAUUAAUUCACUUUGUUUUAUGUUUACGUGAGAUUACAACUCCAUAUCUAUUAUUCACGUGAGCAAUCAACUCGUUAAGUUAUAAAUAAUUUAUAGUAGUUUGCUAAUAUUUAAAGAGCUAAUUACAACUCUAUAUCUAUAAUUCACGACCUUACAACAAUUUCAAAAUAAUUUGAGUAAAUAAUCUUAUAAACAUUCGUAGCUCUCUUUAGGUGCGAUUAAUAAAUCCUGGUGGCUAUGGGUACGGUUCCCGUGACAUGGUCACAAUACUUAAAUCCCAAUUCGGAUGUGCAUUUCAUGUGACCCGACCACAACUUCGAACAAUAUUAAAAUAAACAUGUCGUAAAUUGCGGGUGCCUUUUAUGUGACGCAAUUUUCGAUGUGUACCAAAACAAAAAAGUGUACGACAAUCGUAACUUGUUCCAGAAUAAUUCCAUAAAUAAUUAAAAGUGGUCAAAAGCCAAAAAUGCAUAAUAGUUUUAAAAUGUGUAGUAAAUCAGAUAAUAUGCCAAUUAAUAAUAGUCUAAGCGAUCGUGCUAGAACCACGAAACCCGAGAAUGCCUAACACCUUCUCCCAGGUUAACAAAAUUCCUUAUCUAGAAUUUCUGGUUCGCAGACUUUUAAAUAAAGUCGAAGAUUUCCUCGAUUUGGGAUUUAAAUAUAAACCGGUGACUUGGAACACCAAAUAAAUUAUUCCAAGUUGCGAUUCUGAUUAAAUAAAUAAAAUAAUCCCAUUUUGAUUAAUGUCACUUUAAUUGAAAAAGCUCCUUGGUAUACCUUUGCGGGUGUAAAAAGGAGGUGUGACAAAUACACCCAGGUUUUAAACCUAGACUAAUAUAACCUCAUGCCGGAUCCCUAGUAGGUAAAUUUAUUUGCAUCACGUGCAUCUGACUUUGGGGACUCAACACAAGGGUUGGGUCUGUCUAGGACAUGUGUACCCAAAUUAAAAAGACCAUCCUGAUGCAUCUUACGUACUACUUGUGCAGUUGUUUGUUUCGGUUUGCAUGUUGACUGGCUUCUAUAAUAGGUAAAGAAAAAAAAAUCAAAAAAAAUAAGAGAGUAAGAGUAGGUAUUUGAAAUCCGAAACUCUGCCAAAAUUUUGAAAAAAUAGAGAAAAGAAAUAAAGUCAUUUCAAAAUAAAUCAUAUUACCCUGUUGCGUCGAAAUUUACCGAACUACGUAGGUCUGAUUCUCACCAGAUGUGAGAUACGUAGGCAAACCUCAUCGGUUCCGACCUCAAUUUUUAAAAAAUUAAAAAAAAUCCUUCAAUUCCUUCUUUAGAAGCAUUUCCUUAGAAAAUUCAAAAAUAAAUAAAACAAAGAUUUUUAAACUAAAAAAAUUAGUUUCCUUCGAAAAAAAAGAAAUAAAAAUAAGAAUCAAUCAAAAAUCAAAAUCCAAAAUAUGGAUUUCCUUUUAUUUAGAAGUAUUUUUCCCAAAAAUUCAAAAAACAUCAGAAAAAAAGAAUCCAAAAAAAAUAUUCUCUUCCUUCUUUAAAAGUCUUUCUUUCGUAAGUGUCAUAAAAAUUGAAAAAUUGAAGUCCAAAAAUAUUUUUUUUUCUUUAGAAAUACUUUGUAAAUUUAAAAACAAAAAAAAAACUCAAAAAUCCGAAAUAUUUUCUUAAAAGUCCCACUUUCGAAAAUUAAGAGGAAACAUCCAAAAUCCAAAAAUAUUUUCUUUCUUCUUUAGAAAAUGAAAACGAAUCAAAAUAUUUUCUUUCUUCUUUUGAAAUUCCCAAAGAUUCAAAACAAAAGAAAAGGAAUUUGUAGAAAUCUUUCUUUCAAAAAAAAAGAAAAAAAAUUCAAAAUUCAAUAUCUAAAAUAUUUUACCUCUUUAGGAACUUUUGUAAUAUGAUUUGCAUAUAAAAAAUGUUGAAUAAAUUAGUGAAAAGAAAAGAAAAGAGAGAUUAGUUUAUUUUCUUUAUUCCUAAUCUUUCUGAACUAUACAAGAUCUGAUUCAUGCGGCAUCAUGAUACGUAGGCAAUCCCCAUAGAAUUCGAUCAUAGCCAUAAAAUUAAUUGAAUAAAAAAUAAAUUGAAAAAAAUUGAGUGAAAAAGAAAGAAAAGAGCGAUAAAACAAAAAAUAAAAGAGAAAAAGAAAGUGCCAAAAAAUAAAAGAGCGGCAAAGACAAAAUGAGAAAAUCUGGAGUGAUUAAAGAGAGGCAGAAAUGAAAGAAAAAUGGUAUAGAGUGAAAAAGGGUUAGUUAAGGCCGAGAUGAAACAUGCAACCGAUCAAGCACAUGGUAGAAGCUUUUAACUAUCUAGGUGCAUUGCAUCCCAACGUGCGAUUCCCUAUCUAUUAAGCGUCUCAAAACUAACAAGGUUGUUGAGUGUACAAAUAAGUCAGGUUCUGUUCAGGUGGUUGGUUUUAUUUGGCAGUCUGGUUUCUCAUUCUUACUUCACAAAAUCCAAAGGAAAGGUUCGUAUGGCCUCCGAAAGUCAUCUACCAAUUAUAAAUCCUGAGGAUAACCCAGCAUCGGCUAUUCCACAACCAAAAUCAACAGCUGCUGAAGAGAAUAGGAUGUUGCAUCUCCGCAUAUUGGAAAUGUGUGGGACGCCUGGUCUAAUGGUAGGGAACCGCCAAGUGCAAUCCCUGGGAUCCCUGAGUUGAUCCCCAGGUCAGGAGAGACCACCAACACCCCUGUGCCCAACCCAUUCAUCCCGUGCGGGUACCCUCCAAUGCUAUGUAACGGUCCCGGAAUGCCUUCUUUAGUUUGCCCCCAGGUGCCGGCUUCAAGGGCACCGCCAACAAUGUUCUCUGCAGCACCAGUCUGCACCACAGCACAACGAACUUUACCAUGGCCGUAUGUUGAGCCUCCAAUGUUCACCUUUCAGGGUUCACAACUUCAACCAGAAAUAACAUAUGUGACCCCUUACUCCUUCACUCAACCUUCGUAAUAUGAUCUCUGAGUGGAUCAAGAAAAGGUUGUUAAAAAUCCCGGGCAAGAGAAAAUGGCUCGGAAGAUGAAGAGCCUCGAACAAAGCAUGAAAAACAUGUAAGGUCUGAGUGGCCAAAAGAGUGUCUCAUACUCUGACCUAUGUAUGUUUCCCCAUGUCCACUUGCCAGCUGGCUUCAAGAUGCCAAAAUUUGAAAAGUACGCUGGCACGGAGACCCAAUCGCUCAUCUGAAACAAUAUUGUAACUAGCUGAGGGGUCCUGGUGGAAAAGAGGAGCUGCUAAUGGCCUACUUUGGAGAAAGCCUCACUGGAAUUGCCUCCGAGUGGUACAUCUAUCAAGAAAUUACCCAUUGGAAAGUGUGGGAUGAUUUGGCCCGAGAUUUUGUCCGCCAAUUCCAGUAUAAUGUGGACAUCGCUCCCGACAGAGACUCUUUGUCCAAUUUGAAAAAGAAAACAACAGAUAGCUUCAGUGAAUAUGCUGUCAAAUGGCGCAAGCAAGCCGCCAGGGUAAAACCUCCAAUGGACGAAGCUGAAAUGGUUAUGGUCUUCCUACAGGCCCAAGAGACGGACUACUUCCAGAACAUGAUGUCUACUAUGGGUAGACCUUUUGCUGAGGCUAUCAAAAUUGGGGAGAUAGUCGAAAAUGGUUUGAAAAUAGGGCAAAUCUUGAGUCAUGCUGCUUUUAAGGCCACAUCACAGGCUGCUGAGAAUGGUUCGGAGGGUUUGAUGAACAGAAAUGGGAGUGAAGAGGGAGCCAUGAUGAUUUCAAGUUUGAGGGGGCCCGCAAGUCAUUCAGCCAAUCAUAUGUGCCUCCUAUGGUCCCACCACAUUAUUAUCCCCAUCAAGAUGCUGCUUAUAGUGUGGCACCGCCUUCCCAUGCGGUGAUGAAUGUGCAACCUUACACGCAGCCACAAUAUUAUACACAAAACCGAACUCCACCUCCCAAAAAUACCCAUCUUACCAACAUCCAUAUAAAUCCUCAACCAAAUUAUCUCCAAUACUAUCCUCGCCCAAGAUAGCCUAUCAGAAAUAAUCAAUUCACCCCUAUUGGUGAAUCGUAUUCAAACUUGUUCUAAAAGCUAAUCGGGCUAAAUCUAUUGCAGCCAGUGGUCCCGAACUGGCCGAACCCUGAGUCCCCCUCGCACCGAGCUAAUGCUAUAUGUGAAUACCACUCUGGAGUAGUGGGACACAGUACGGAGGACUGUUGGACCCUCAAAAGGGCAGUUGAAGACUUGAUUGAAGCUGAAAGAAUCGUUCUCCGGGAUGAAGAGGCUCCUAGAAUGAUGAACAAUCCUCUGCCUACUCUCACAAAUGGGCUAGUAGUUGGAAUGAUUUGUGAAGAUGAAGAAUUUGAUCCGCCAUUGAAGGCCAUUGCAGCCAUUGCCGAGACAGAAGAAAAUCCAAAAAACGGUCGACAAGUCUGAAAGUUCCCUAUCAAAUGGGUGUCUCGGUAGCCAGUCUUGCUAUCCUUUCUGCGUCUGGAUUAUCUCAGGGUAUGAUCCGGAUGUUUUACUUUAUUGUAUUACUUUCUGAUGUAAACCCUUCUAUAUUUGAAAUUCAAAAAAAAAAUCAAAAAUCAAAUGAAAUUAAUAUUUCAUCGUCCAUGAAUGUCUCUUUUCUUAAUCUUGUCACUUUUACUAUUCUCUUUUCAGUUCUAUUAAAUGCAGAUUUCAAUAACAUGACAUGCUUGCGGACUUUAUGCACAUAUCAUAAAAUGCAGUCAGACUACGAAAUAAUGAAUCAAGAAUCAGAAUGCAAUGAAGAUAAGUUUAAAGAAAUAAAACAAAGACUCGGAACAUCUGAAGAAAAAUUGGUUCCAUAUUGGAAAGGUCCAUACAUUGCAACAAGAAUACUGCCAAAAGAGUGUGUUGUACUUGGGACACAUCGAAGGAAAUAUCCCUGAAAUAACUAUCAAUGCAAAUGUAGUCAAAAGGUACUAUUUUGGAUCCUCUAUAUAGCAUUAAUGCUCCGAUUGGAAUGACGAAAGCUUUCUUUCUCGCUACCCAAAUACUAUCAAUCCUUUGCAAACCCUUUGAGUCGGUUACUUUUCUUUGAUUACCCUCUUUGGAAACAAAAAUUGUCAUUGGAAAAAAAACAAAAAAUAGAAAAAAAUGACAAAAAUAUAUUGAAAUUAAAAAUGAAAAAAAGUGAAAAAGUAAGGGAAAAAGAAAGAGAAAACAAAACAAAACAGAAGAAAAUAAAAAAUAAAGUUCCAUGAACUAUGUUUGACUUAAUUCCAAAAGGAUACAUAGGCAGCCUCUCUGGAGUUCAGUUACACCAAAAUACAAAUUCACAUUUCCCCAAAGUUGAAACUGGGGCAGAAGUUACAAUGAUUCGGUGAUGGUUUCGCUUGAAGGGUUCCAAAGUUGUAAUUCUAUCCAAAUGCUUUUCACCCCAAAAUCUUGAUCAAGUCCUUCCGAUCAAUCGGUGAGAAUGUUCAAGGAUCGGAGAAUAUAGCUACUUGGAUCUAAUGCAAUCAAAUAAGGAAAAUAAAAUGAGAGAGUCUUAUGGGUGAAAACCCACACGGGCACCGUGAGGCGACAGUAAGCAGAGAAACUAAAAAUGAGAGAGUCUUUUUAGUGAAAACUCGCAAAGAGCACUAUAAGGCGAUGGUGAGAAGAGAAAUGAGAGGGGUUAGCUCGUGAAAACCUACAAAGGGUACCACUGAUCGAAAAAGGGGAUCUUCAGUCACUGACAUUGACACAGUCCUGGGAAAGGUUUCUCGGUUUUGAGGCAAAAGUUGUGAUGAAUUUUGAGAGUCAGACAGUUUGCACGGAUCAGGCAUCCAGUCCAAAAGGCAUUUCAUGUUCAUUGAAGUCCGCAUAUACUCCAAAUAAGCCCUUAUUUCCUUUCCUCGAAAGGGAUACCUCUUGUCUAAAUUCAUUUGUCCAUUCCAUUAUUUGUUUUUCCUUUGAAUCCCUUUUUGGUCUAACUCUAUUCUGAAAUUGAGACAAAGAAGGGAUGGCAAGACUGAUUUACUGGGUUCUCAUUUGAUACGGGCUAAUAUGCAAAAAAAUGCACCCAGCCUCUUCAGGGGCAUCAAAUCGUCCUCAACUGGCCAUGGCGGCCGAUACUAUCAAAAUUCUUGGAAGGAGAAAAUCAAAUUGAAGGCCUACGAAGGCAAAAUAAAGUUGGAAAAUGUUAAGUUCCACGCGACUAGCCGUUGCAGCAAAGUUUGAGGAGCCAAAAAGUUGCCCAAUACUCCGAAGUUAAAAAUUAAAAAACAAUAACAACAAGUCAGAAGUGAAAGGCCUACAAAGGCAAAAUAAAGUCGAAAAGGUUGAGUCCCACGCGACCAACUGUCAUGGCAAAGUCUGGAAAAACCAAAGGUUCUUCAAGGUCAGAAAUGCAAUUGGUAUUCAAGAAACAACCAGUUGCAGUUGAAAGGGCCGAGAUCAAGUGGUUCAGAUAAUCAAGGACACAAAACCAACCAUUGUUUCAAACUGACAAGUAAUUCUUUGUUUGAAAGAUAGGAAACAGGUGCAAUCCAAAAGCAACCUCGUAAGAAGCAGGUGCGACCAAAAGGUAACUACGCAAGGGCUAGAAAUAACUUUGCAGCAACAACCUAAAAAGAUAAGUAUCCUCCAAAAUUCUUUCCCGCAUUUUACUCACUCUCUUAAAUAAAAUUAAAAAAAAUGAAUGAUGAAAAAAAUUGAAAUGAAAUGAAAUGAAUGAAAAGAAGAAAAGUUAAAAAUCAUGGUAGUAUAGAAUCUCCAAUCCCUAGAUGCAUUUUUUCUAACAUAUGGUCUCCAAUCCCUAGUUGAUUUUAUUCUAGACAUAGGGUCUCCACUCCCUAGUCGCUUUUCCAACAUAGGGUCUCUACUCCCUAGUUGAUGCCAACACCACUCCCUAGUUGAUGCCACCAUAACCCGAUGCCAACGUAGGGUCACCACUCCCUAGUUGAUGCCAAUAUAGGGUCUCCACUCCCUAAUUGAUGCCACUAUAACCUGAUGCCAGCAAAACCUGAUGCCAACAUAGGGUCACCAAUCCCUAGUUGAUACCAACACAGGGUCUCCACUCCCUAGUUGAUGCCAGCAUAACCUGAUGCCAAUAUAGGGUCACCACUCCCUAAUUGAUGCCAACAUAUGGUCACCACUCCCUAGUUGAUGAUUUUCUGACAUAGGGUCCCACUCAUAGUUAAUACCAGCAUAACCUGAUGAUUUUCUGAUAUAGGGUCCCACUCCCUAGCCGAUGCUAGCAUAACCUAAUGAUUUUUCAAUGUAGGGUCCCACUCCUUAGUUGAUGCCAGCAUAACCUGAUGAUUUUCCGACAUUGCUAGCAUUACUGAAUAUGAUUAACACCACCAGCGUCAUUGGGAAAGGUUCGGCCUCAACAAAACCAAACCAAAAUCCAAGAAAAAGGGGGAAACCACUGAAAAAAUAAUUUCGAGCCAAAUAUGAAAAUAAUGAUCCUUCAAUUGGCUCAUUAAGACGUCCAGGUAAAUAUGAAUUUCUUGUCAGUUACAAACCCCAGGAAUGGCCAAAAUUACCAGUAUUCACUCCAAGCUGGGAGGAUAGUGAAAUCACACCCAAACCCAAAUCACCAUCAGCUCAUACCCCAGAAUCCAAAAAGCCACCUGAACCUAAAACUUCACCAAUUCAAAAAACCAUAGAUCCCACACUACCAUAGAUAUUCAUGCUAAGUCCUUCAACUCCAGUCAUACGCAAGAUUUUCCUUCACUUCAACCUUUUGAAAAAGAGGGUAUAAGUCAUGCUCUAGAAAUUCCCAAGAAAAAUAUAGUGCUACCUACUUGAGAAAAACCCCCCAACAAGUGACAUCGAUGCAACAAUGAACUGACAAUCAGAAAACUCCAUCUACUAAAACAAGGUGUUGAACAACAUAGGCAACACCAUAAAGAACGUGGCCCAUACACAAAAUAAAAUGAUGAGCAAACUGGAAACAAUUGAGAAAAAGAUGGAGCAAACAUCGUCUCACCAUGCCGGACUAAUCAAAGCCUUGAAACUAAGAUUGGCAAAUUUACAAGAUUUGUCCACCAGGAACUUCACUUUUCCAGUUCUUCCAACAACAACAAAAGGAGACGAUUUCCAUCAAAGAACAAAUUCAACUUCUGAGAAAUGACCAUUUUGAGCAACCAAAAAACCCCAUUUUUCUCCUCAAAACCUACCUUCUUCCCUAUGUCUCCACAAGCAUAUUCCCCACAUAAAUUAGACUACACUCUUUAUACUUUCCCAUCUUCCUCAUAAAAUCCAAUCUCUUUCACCCAACCCUUAAAAGAAGAACAUGAUUUUGAUAUCGCAAAAAUGGUUUGGGAAAGGAAAGAUGCCCUUGCAGCACAAAAACAAACCAAGAAAAGGCGAGACCAAGGAGAAAGUUCAAAAGGGUCCAACCUCGAAAAUCUGAUGAUUUCUGACCAGAAGGCUCCAGACCUCUAUGUCUCCCAACCAAGAUACAUAUCAUAAGAAGGUACUCCAUGGUCGGAAUCUCUGAAUUCAUCAGACGAUGAAACAAUGGAAGAUAACUCUCAAUCAAGCAAUGAAUCCACAACGAACUCUUCCGAAGACGACAAUCCCCCAAUAUUUGUAAACCAGCCAAGGGACCCAGAAGUAUCUAAAGUAGAUGAGGAACAAGAAGGCAUGACAGAUGAGCCAAUCCUAGAAAGAAGAUAUGAGCCCAUGGGGUCAAAACCAAUUGGAACUGGCUUUCACACUUUCACCUUAGAUGACGUCAAGGUUUCAAAAUGGCCUCAAGGAUCCAAGACAUCUAUACUUGGAUAGUGACCAAAAAUUUGGUGGAAUGAGAAAAGUAUAUCAUCCUGUCAGAACUCACUUCACGGUUCUCAGGAAUCCUCAGAGAUUGGUGGAACUCGCUUGGAAUUCAAGACAAAAAUACUUUUCUUACUUCCCAAGAUUUUGCCUUCAACAUCAGGAUCCUACAUGAAGUUUUCUGCAGAGAUACUGGCCAAAUACAGGAGAAAAUGCGAAGACAACUCUUCGAGAUGAAGUGUGUGUCAUUCGACAGAAAUGACAUUGAUAGGCAUUUUCAAAAAUUGGAAAAGAUAUACUUUGAAAUCGGAGGAGACAUCAAUCUGAAGCAAGCCUUUGUCUCUUCCCUUCCAAAAUUGUUGGCAAGCCGAACCAUGACCAUCAUUGAAGAAAAGUUUUAGUCCAUAACAAUCCCACAAAUUAAUUACAUCAGGAAAGCUAUUUUCAUCGUAUUGGAUGACAUUUGUACAAAGCACUCAGCCCUAAAGCAAAUUAUCCAGCAUAAUCCAGCGCUUCACAAGGCAUGCCGCAAAUCUGAUCUAAUCACCGGAUUAGGAUGUUCCUUCCACACAUCCAGGCGAAGGAGAGAAUUUAGGAGAUUUAGAUGGCUAAGAAUUCUAGAUGGGAAAUCAAGGUCCAAGAGACGCACAAAAUAUUUUAGACGCAGAAGGCCAGGAAAUUUUCACAAGAAGAACAAAUGCUUUAUUUUCCAUAAGAUUAGACAUUUUGCAAAAAAUUGUCCCCACUCAAGAAGAUCUGUCAAACUCCUUGAAGAGAUUGAAGAUUAUAGUGGCAUACAUCUUGGAAAAGAGGAGGACCUUGAAUCCAUAUUCUCUGUGGAUAAUGAACCUAAUGAAGAAACUUUAUUCUCUCUUGAUAUCUAUGAAGAUCAAGGCAAUGAUCAAUACCAAAUUUCAAAACCAGUGAUCGAAGCCCAAGAGGAGAUUAACGCUUUCGCAGUUGUUCCUCAAGUAGAACUCAAAGUCUAUUCAUCCAAAUGGGAUAAACCAACUCGCGUUAUUGUUUUCAUCGACACUGGAGCUGCUUCUUCACUCAUAAAUCCUGUUGUUCUCCCUGAAAAUCAAUGGGUGCCGCAUUUUAAAGAUUUCAACAAUGCAUCAAAUGCAAUCUUGACCACAAUUGUCAUUACAAAGCACCCUGUCACAAUUGAGUUCUUUCCAGGGUUGAAGUACAGAAUCAAGCUGCUAGGAUCUUAUGUACCGGGAAAGGAUCUUAUUAUUGGAUUCGACAUUUAAAGACAACUUAGAGAUCAACUCCAGAUCAAGGCUAAUGGGAUAUCUUUUAAAAAGCAGUUCAGACCUUAUUCUGAGAUUCCAAGGCUAUUCCAAAUUACCAACGACGAAAAAAUCAAAGAGAUUGAGCAAAACCUUAUUGAACAUUCAUGUGCUGAAUCUCACAAAGAUUUCAUGAAGAAAGGGAAAUGCCCAUUAUGGAAAAAUGAAGAGUUUUUCAUCAAGCUCCCUUUUUAGAUGAAUGAAAAUAUCAAUCCAACAAAAGCCAGCCAUUCAGGGAUGAAUCCAGAUCAUCUUCAGCUUGCAAAUAAAGAAUGUGAAGAACUUUUGGAAUUUGAUCUGAUAGAGCCAUCAGAUUCACAAUGGGCAUGCGAAGUUUUUUAUGUCAACAAAAGAGGUGAACAGACAAGAGGAAAACUCAGGUUAGUCAUUAAUUACCAGCCACUCAACCAUUUCCUCCAAGAUGAUAAAUUCCCCAUCCCAAAUAAACUCACUCUUUUCUCCCACUUAGCCAAGGCCAAAUAUUUUUCCAAGUUUGAUUUAAAAUCUGGAUUUUGGCAAUUAGGAAUCCACACUGAAGAAAGACCCAAAACGGGAUUUUGCAUCCCCGAUCAUCACUUCCAAUGGAAAGUCAUGUCCUUCGGGUUAAAAAUUGCACCCUCUUUGUUCCAAAAGGCCAUGAUAAAAAUCUUCCAACCCAUCCUUCAUACCUCCUUAGUUUACAUUGAUGACAUCCUGUUAUUUAGUGAUACAUUGGAGGAAUAUGUCAACUUGCUUCGUCAAUUUGAGGCAUUGGUAACACAGUACGAGAUCAUACUUUCUCCAAAAAAGAUGGUUCUUGCUCAAAAGGAGAUUGGUUUUUUCGGAAUGUAUUUUGUCCAAGGUACAUACAGUCCAGGACCACAUAUAUGUCAGGAAUUAAUCAAAUUUCCGGAUACCAACUUCACAACAAAGUAGAUCCAACAGUUCUUGGAGGUAAUAAAUUAUGUAAGAGAUUUCAUCCCAAAUAUCUCUACAUACAUUUCACCGUUCACCGAAUGAUCAAGAAAAAUGCUCCAUCAUAGGGAGAGAAACAGGAUGAAGCAGUCAGAAAAAUAAAAGAGAUAUCUAAAAAUGUCAAAUCUCUCUACAUCACUUCAGAUGGAAACAAGAUACUGCAAACUGAUGCCAUCCAUGAAUAUUGGAGUGUUGUUCUAUUUGAAGAAAAAUAUAGCCAGAGGAAAAUAUGCGGAUACGCCAGUGGAAAAUUCAAAGAUGUCGAGCAACAUUAUCACUCCACUUUCAAGGAAAUUCUUGCAGUAAAGAAUGGUAUCAAGAAAUUCAAUUUCUUCCUUAUCCAUACAGAAUUUCUAAUAGAGAUGGAUAUGAAGGCCUUCCCAAAGAUGAUCCAGAUAAAUUCAAAAUUUAUUCCCAAUCCUCAGAUUCUCAAAUGGGCCCAAUGGUUCUCUCCAUACAAGUUUCAAGUCAAGCACCUGAAAUGAAAAGAUAAUAUUCUCGCAGAUUUUCUGUCUCGGCCGAAAGAAUUCUCAAAAAGAUUUUCCCCAGCAAAACUGAAGUCAGAGCAAAAGCUAAUUAGCCACGUCUUCAUGCUUUCAAAUAUACCAGGAACAAGUUCAUUAAAGCUAACAGAUCAUCCACCGGAGUUGUUCAACCUCAUGGAUCCCUUUGAUCCGUCAAUUAUUAUAGAAAGAAGACGUAUUAUGAGCUCCAAGUUUUCCGGCAACAUGAAGGAUCCAUUCUCAAGCCAUAUGGGGUAAAUCCAGAAUAUCCGUUCUGCCAUGUAUUCAUAACUCAAGCUAAGGAUUUUUCACAAGAACUAUUAUGGUUUUUCUGGUACCUAUGCCAUCAGUAUUAUAUUUUCAUGGAAUUCAAAUGCAACAUNNNNNNNNNNNNNNNNNNNNNNNNNGUUUCAGCGAUUCCUACGCAGCAAAGAUAUUCAUGUUCCAUAGGCCAAUGAAGAUCAUUAAUGGAAACGUCCAUGCGCAAGCAGAGGCAUUAUUUUGGUGGAAAUUUUCUGUGUCCAUUUUAUCAAUGGAGGAAGAAUAUAGCGAAGCACAAAGAAUACUUUCUAGCAAAAUAGGUGCAUCCCGAGAUAGAUAUGGCCAAAAGAUUGGGCAAGCUGGAAUUAUACCAACACCCAUCCUCACUGGGAAAGAGUCCGGGAAGCAGCAAAAGAAUAUCAAACCCCAUACGAAGUCAUCCAAGAAAAGAUCACUCACGAUAUUUCCAGAUUAAAGUUGCGAAUUACAUCUCUCAAUCCAAAGGAGAAAGAACACAGCGGAAAAGGACUGUCAAGUUCCAGGCAUUACUACACCAGGUCUUUGAAAAGAUGCCUACAAGACAACACUAGAAUCAAUGAAGUAUAAUUAUCUAAAUCCCUGCUAAUCCCACCAUAAUCCUGCAUUACCUACCAAAAAAGCCUCAAACAUAUCCUACCCAUGCCAAGACAAAUUCCCACAUCUUUCCAUACUAUCCGGGCCCCACUUCCACUUGUUUUCACAUGCUUCUACAUGCCUUCACAUGCUUUAUCACAUGCAACACAAUACUUUUACAUGGUGUCACAUGAUCCCUCAUACUACCACAUGCUACACCAUGUAUAUUUUACCCCUUUCACAUGUUUUCAGGUGUUUUUUAGUGGUUUUGCCUAAAGUCCUUCACAUGUCAAGAAGGACCCACAUGAAGAUAAGUUUGCCAUGUAAUAUAGGUUUAUUUUAUUAUGCAAGUUUGUCUUGUAAUAACUUUCUAGUCCUAUAUAAAGGAGGCCUUGUAGUAGUUGGAAGAUCAUCUUGCAACCUUUGUAAAUCUUUUGUGAUAUAUUACAUAUGAGUGCUUUCUAAAUUUCCCUCUUGUUCUUUCUUUCCAAUGGAUGGAAAGGCUGGUCCAUGUAUGAAAAUAGAGCAAGAAUACUCUUUGAAAGUUAGCUUAUUAUAGUACGAAAUUUUUUUGAGUUAUAAACAACUAACGUUGGUUAUAGUACAAAAGUUUUAUGAAUUGUGUAGCUUGGCAAACCGUCCUUUAUGGGUUGUUGAAACCAGCCCCUUUAUAGGAAAACUUUUGCAACUAUAAACAAAUUUAUUUUUUGUGUAUCUUGGCAAGCCGUCCCUUAUGGGUUGUUGAAGCUAGCCCCUUUGUAGGAAAACUUUCAUAUCUAUAAUUUAGUUGCUUUCUUGGAUCCCACUCCCUAGUCGAUGCCAGCAUAACCUGAUGAUUUUUCAACGUAGGAUCCCACUCCCUACUCCCUAGUUGAUGCCAGCAUAACCUGAUGACUUUCCAACAUAGGGUCUCACUCCCUAGUUGAUGCCAGCAUAACUUGGUGGUUUACCCAACAAUAGGGCUUCCAAUCCCUAGUCAUUUUCAUUUUAGAUAUAGAGUCUCCACUCCCUAAUCUCUUUUUUCUGGGAUACACAAUCCUAACUUUUAUUGCUUUCAAUAAUAAAGUAGUAUAGAGUUUUGGUUAUAAAUAACUCACGAAAUUUUUCUAGUGAAAACUGGGGCUGAAAAUUUUCGUUCGUUUGUUUGUUUUGGUGUCUGAGCAGGUUCUGAGACAUAGGGUUCAAGACGACCAAAAGAAGAAGACUUAAUCCAGAAGAAAAGAAAAAGAAGUGAACUCAAAGUGCAGAAACGGAGAAAAAAUGUGGAUGGCUCAAGACAUGAUUGACGUCACAAGAUUUGCAUGUCCCGCCUUGAUCCGAAAGGCUGAAGAUGAAUAAACCAGCACUUGCAGCUAACAAGCAUCAAGAUUUAGAUCAGAGUCUGCAUGAAGAACCAGCCAAGACUCAAGAUCAAACUUUAGAAGAUUUAUAGAUAGGAAUGUUGUAACUCGUAGCUGAUAAGUUUAGUUAGUUUAGUUUUCCAUUUUGAUUUUUGUAUAAUAAGGAGCUCAGUAAGUAGUGACAACAACAACAACAGUAAAAUCAUAGUUUUUCGGUAGUCCCAACUACCAAAAUUUUUAGAACUACACUGACCGGAUUCCUUUAUAGUUAAGGAUAUGUAGGCAAUCUCUGAAGCAAGGUUCGGUCAAAAAAAUUCAAAAUUCUUCCAAAUGGAAUACCAAACGAGCAAAUUGCUCGUAAUUACUCACUUUAUCUUUGCCCAAAAACUCUUCAUGUUCUCGAGCAAAGAGGGGCAGCUGUGAGCACCUAAUUUUUUCCCUACAUGAAAAUUACUCCUAAAUAAUUAACAAAAAAUAAUAAAUAUUUCAAAAUAGCUUUAAUCAAUUUUGUAGAAUUUUAGGAACUUUUCUCUAGUUUAGUUAAAUUGUUUUGCUUUUCAUUUUUAUGCAUAAGCAUUUUAAAUCAUGAAAAUGCCAAAAAUAUUUUAUUCAUGCAUUAAAUUUUAGAUUUUAAUUGCAUGAUUGUUGCAUUUAUAAAAUAUAAAAUACCAAAAAUACAUUUCUUAUUAUUAGUUUAAAUUAUUAGUUAAAAAUAGCAUAGGUUACUUCUGCAAAAAUAAGAUUAAUUUGAAUUAAUGACUAAGUGGCUACAAUUUGAAAACAAUUGAUCAAAAGCUGAAAAAGGUCAAAUUGGGCCAAUUCUAUUAGCCCAAAACUACAAAAGAGUUUUGGCAGCCCAAUUGCCCAUCCGCCCCAAGCAUGGUACAAUAACCCAACCCUCUCAUUAAAACCUCCCUCAUCCAAAAAAAAAGGACCUAGAAUUAAUUGCAUUACCUUACCCUAGAGACCUAAUGAGAUAAAAAAAAGGACCUUGUAGCUUUAGGAAAGUUGUGCAUCAGCUUCUUCCUCUAAGAACAAAAACGCAGUAGUUGUUGCCUUUCUUCUUCCGCCAAACACACUUCAUUACAAAUAAAACUUCAACUCCAAAAGCCAUGAAAAUCAACCACGAAAUCCACCAAAAAUCAGCUCCAAUUCACCCCUAAAUCAUCUCCGAACAGCCCAGAAAACGUAGCUGAAGUAGCUGCAAUAAUAGUCCAUAAACCAGCCAUGUUUCCACAUCUAAACCCCUGCGAAAAUUAGUUGAAAAUAGAAGCUAAAAAGCCACAAAAUAUGCUCAAAAUCACCUCCAAAAUAGCUCCAAAACGAGCUGAAAAACACUCCAUGAAAAUAGCUUCAAGAAUGACAAUUGAAACCCAGCUUCCCACCUCAAAAAGACCACCUAAAAAAUAGCUAAAGUUUAGAGUCAAAGUCGAGGGUUUGGUUCAAAUAAAGUCGAGGCCAACGUCGAGCUUUUCGAGUCAUGGUUUUGUUUGGUCUUGUUCGCAUUUUCGGUGUUUGUCGCCGGGAUCUGUUUGCUAGUUGAACAACUUUUGUUGUUGUAUCAAGCUUUGGUUUGAAGGCCCUUUAUAAAUAUAUAGAAAAGUUUUCACAGAGGUUCUUUCUUUUCCAAUCUCAUUUUAUGGUUGAUUUGCUUUGAAUUGUUAUUUAUAUUGUUGAGCAUUUGGAUGCCUUCACAUUGGUUGAUUCUAUGUUUAUUAGUUACUCUCUUCUGUUAAAUAAUUUUAUUUGUGGCAAAUCUUUACAUUGUUCAUUGAAUGUCAUUGGGAUAUUUAGUAAGCUUGAUUUUAAAAGUUUAUUGGUCUGACAAUAUGGGUCACGAAGGAGCAUAUACUGAUUCGGGCCGUUGAAUGGCUUUUAAAAAUAAAAUUUGGUC